rnacentral:rRNA from 1 species
UACGUAGGGGGCAAGCGUUGUCCGGAAUCAUUGGGCGUAAAGAGCGUGUAGGCGGCCCGAUAAGUCCGCUGUGAAAGUCCAGGGCUCAACCCUGGAAUGCCGGUGGAUACUGUCGGGCUCGAAUCCGGAAGAGGUGAGUGGAAUUCCUGGUGUAGCGGUGAAAUGCGCAGAUAUCAGGAGGAACACCGGUAGCGGCGAAGGCGGGUCUCUGGGCCGAUACUGACGUGAGGAGCGAAAGCGUGGGGAGCGAACAGGAUUAGAACC